CAGUCGCCGCGGUAAUACGUAGGUGGCAAGCGUUGUCCGGAGUUAUUGGGCGUAAAGGGCUCGCAGGCGGUUUCUUAAGUCUGAUGUGAAAGCCCCCGGCUCAACCGGGGAGGGUCAUUGGAAACUGGGAAACUUGAGUGCAGAAGAGGAGAGUGGAAUUCCACGUGUAGCGGUGAAAUGCGUAGAGAUGUGGAGGAACACCAGUGGCGAAGGCGACUCUCUGGUCUGUAACUGACGCUGAGGAGCGAAAGCGUGGGGAGCGAACAGGAUUAGAUACCCGAGUAGUCCCUGUCUCUUAUAC
rnacentral:rRNA from 1 species